CCUACUGGUGGCAGCAGUGGGGAAUAUUUGGCAAUGAGCGCAAGCCUGACCCCGCAACGCCGCGUGAAGGAAGAAGGCUUUCGGGUUGUAAACUUCUUUUCUCAGGGACGAAGAAAGUGACGGUACCUGAGGACUAAGCCACGUCUAACUACGUGCCAGCAGCCGCUGUAAUACGUAGGUGGCAAGCGUUAUCCGGAUUUACUGGGGGUAAAGGGCGGGUAGGCGGGAAAGCAAGUCAGAUGUGAAAACCAUGGGCUCAACCUGUGGCCUGCAUUUGAAACUGUUGUUCUUGAGUACUGGAGAGGCAGACGGAAUUCCUAGGGUAGCGGGGAAAUGCGUAGAUAUUAGGAGGAACACCAGUGGCGAAGGCGGUCUGCUGGACAGCAACUGACGCUGUGGCGCGAAAGCGUGGGGAGCAAACAGGAUUAGAUACCCGUGUAGUC
rnacentral:rRNA from 1 species